AUUUACAGGUGGAUCCUGGUAUUAUAGUGAAGAUGAGCUAUCAUUUGUGGUUCAGAUAAUUUGGAUACAAGGAGCAGUGGUUGCUUAUAAUCAGGAAAAAAGUGAGGUGACCUUGCAAGAUAAUGGAUAUAAUGUAACAGUGACAAACUGUCAUAUUAUUCCUGGAGGAAAUGCAUGGAUUGAUCAAGGUAAAUACGUGAUGGCUGUAGGUGAACUCGACAACAAUAGCACAGUAGUAAAAAUUAGAGCAAUUAAAAUAGCUGACCUUUCUGAUAAUUCUGUGCAUCAGCAAACCUGGAAUGAUGAAGUUACUGAAUUGAAAGCCUUGAUGAGAGAAAAUAAACCUCUUUGUAGAUGAAGGAACUGUUUAUGACUUCAUGUUUAUACUUUCUACAUUGUAAUUGGAUAAUAUUGUGUUAAUUUUCUACUUCUUAUUAUAGUUAUAUACGUAAUUUC